UACGUAGGGGGCUAGCGUUGUCAGGAAUCAUUGGGCGUAAAGCGCGCGUAGGCGGCCAGAUAAGUCCGGUGUGAAAGCCACAGGCUCAACCUGUGAAUGCCGCUGGAAACUGUCUGGCUAGAGUCCGGGAGGGGCGAGUGGAAUUCCUGGUGUAGCGGUGAAAUGCGCAGAUACCAGGAGGAACACCAAUGGCGAAGGCAGCUCGCUGGAACGGAACUGACGCUGAGGCGCGAAAGCGUGGGGAGCGAACAGG
rnacentral:rRNA from 1 species